GGGGAUGUCGCAUAGUGGCAAUUGCAAGGGACUGUAAUUCCCUCGACUAUAGUCUUCGUCAGUUCGAGUCUGACCAUCCCCA